UCCCUGAAGGACUAGUGGCUAGGACUCGGCGCUUUCGCUGCUGCAGCCAAGGUUCGAUUCCCUGCCAGGGAA